AUUCUUGUGCUCGGGCACGUACUGUCGCCAGUGAGGUCUUUACCGAGGCACAGUCUUUUGCUGAUUGCAAAUUACACAUCCGAACACGUCGGUUGGCUUCGGCCUUCCGCAAUUUUUGGAAAAUCCUUUUCUUAGGACUUGCUUUUCAGGAU
rnacentral:snRNA from 1 species